rnacentral:lncRNA from 1 species
AUUUAAUCACAUGUGUAUACGUGUGUAUAAUGGAACAGUACUUAGCUUGAAAGAGGAAUGAAAUUCUGACUUGUGCUACAACAUGCUAAACUCUGAAGACAUAUGCCAAAUGAAAUAAGCCAAGCAAGAAAAGCAUAUGAUUCUACUUAUAUGAGGCCAUCAAACUCCAAAUGAUCACGCAACCAGAGCCUCAGCUGAUGGCCCCUUCUUCCGGGGAUCCUCAGAUCGGUCUUUGAGGGAGCUCUGACUGCCGUUUCCCCAAAACAGCGCCCCCUGUCAGCAGGAGGCUAAGAUGGGUCUUCAUCCUUAUCCUUUCUAACUGCAGUCAGAUGGACUUCUUCAGAGCGGAGAAUGAGACAGCCAGGUGUAAAGGGGUCCCCAGAACACUAGGAGAAUGGGGGGUGAGGCCACAGAAUUUAGUGCCCUUUGCAGGGGCGAGGAGCCUGGCCCCUCCUGUUCCAGGGUGGAACCUGGGAUUCAAUCUGUAAGGUGGGAAACCGACUAGCAGGAGUCUUGCUCCGCUGAGGGUCCCUGUUUCCCCUUUUUUUCCUUUUCACCCAAUAAAUUCCAUUUUUCUCACUCUUCAAA